rnacentral:piRNA from 1 species
UCAUGGAAAUGUAAGAGUGGAAU